rnacentral:pre_miRNA from 12 species
GGAGGGUCCUGCUCCGUCGUCCCAGUGUUCAGACUACCUGUUCAGGAUGAUACUGGUGUACAGUAGUCUGCACAUUGGUUAGACUGUGCAAGGAAGAGCU